GAUGAACGCUGGCGGCGUGCUUAACACAUGCAAGUCGAACGGGAAAUACUUCAUUGAGACUUCGGUGGAUUUGAUUUAUUUCUAGUGGCGGACGGGUGAGUAACGCGUGGGUAACCUGCCUUAUACAGGGGGAUAACAGUCAGAAAUGGCUGCUAAUACCGCAUAAGCGCACAGAGCUGCAUGGCUCAGUGUGAAAAACUCCGGUGGUAUAAGAUGGACCCGCGUUGGAUUAGCUGGUUGGUGGGGUAACGGCCCACCAAGGCGACGAUCCAUAGCCGGCCUGAGAGGGUGAACGGCCACAUUGGGACUGAGACACGGCCCAGACUCCUACGGGAGGCAGCAGUGGGGAAUAUUGCACAAUGGGGGAAACCCUGAUGCAGCGACGCCGCGUGAAGGAAGAAGUAUCUCGGUAUGUAAACUUCUAUCAGCAGGGAAGAUAGUGACGGUACCUGACUAAGAAGCCCCGGCUAACUACGUGCCAGCAGCCGCGGUAAUACGUAGGGGGCAAGCGUUAUCCGGAUUUACUGGGUGUAAAGGGAGCGUAGACGGUGUGGCAAGUCUGAUGUGAAAGGCAUGGGCUCAACCUGUGGACUGCAUUGGAAACUGUCAUACUUGAGUGCCGGAGGGGUAAGCGGAAUUCCUAGUGUAGCGGUGAAAUGCGUAGAUAUUAGGAGGAACACCAGUGGCGAAGGCGGCUUACUGGACGGUAACUGACGUUGAGGCUCGAAAGCGUGGGGAGCAAACAA
rnacentral:rRNA from 1 species